AUGAACGCUAGCUACAGGCUUAACACAUGCAAGUCGAGGGGCAGCAUGGUCUUAGCUUGCUAAGGCCGAUGGCGACCGGCGCACGGGUGAGUAACACGUAUCCAACCUGCCGUCUACUCUUGGACAGCCUUCUGAAAGGAAGAUUAAUACAAGAUGGCAUCAUGGGUCCGCAUGUUCACAUGAUUAAAGGUAUUCCGGUAGACGAUGGGGAUGCGUUCCAUUAGAUAGUAGGCGGGGUAACGGCCCACCUAGUCUUCGAUGGAUAGGGGUUCUGAGAGGAAGGUCCCCCACAUUGGAACUGAGACACGGUCCAAACUCCUACGGGAGGCAGCAGUGAGGAAUAUUGGUCAAUGGGCGAGAGCCUGAACCAGCCAAGUAGCGUGAAGGAUGACUGCCCUAUGGGUUGUAAACUUCUUUUAUAAAGGAAUAAAGUCGGGUAUGGAUACCCGUUUGCAUGUACUUUAUGAAUAAGGAUCGGCUAACUCCGUG
rnacentral:rRNA from 1 species